GAAUGAUGCCUUAUGGAAGCCUAUUCAAAUCCCUGACGCUGGAACCUUUAUCCAGGCACUAGCUGUUCUUAGUGAGAAGAAUCCUCUUCUGAUUACUCCACACCAAAGUCAGGUCUACACAAGUUUGCCAUAAUUCUGCAAUAAGAACCUAAAAAGUAUGAGCAUUUUCCUGAAGAUACCGCUGAAACUCUCUUCUAU
rnacentral:lncRNA from 1 species